CUCGCUUCAGUGUAGUGCUGGCAGUGGAGGAGUACGUGUGUGGCGUCCUCUCGUUCCGGGCAUCCGUUCGGGCAAUCUGCGAGUGUUUCCGGUUCCAAUCUGCUGAUGAAGUGAUUUAGUUUGUUGUGGCCGCUGCGUAGUCGGAACAAGGCUGAUUGGAUAGUUCUUUUCUUAUUGGUGUGCCAUGUGGCAUUGCGUCGGUCCUUCCGGAUGUUUGUCGCCAGUUGGUCUGCGAUUUCGUUUCCAACGAUUCCGGCGUGUGAGGGUAUUGCUGGGCUUGACUCCCAUUUGAAGUUGGAUAUUGCUUGAAUGGAAGAUUUUGAAUCAGUGAAGAUGGUGGCUGAGUCCAUCUCGUACUUGUUGAGGUAUGUGGAAUGCACAGCUGGCAGUUUUUGUUGUCUCGCACACUGAUCCAUCAGUGUAUACUUCAAGGUGGUUGGUGUUUGGAUUACGAGUGAGAGUCCUUCUAUCCAUGUGUUGUCGUACGCCUUCGAGAUGUCCAGGAAUAUUGCUGUGGUUGGGUGGCUGCUGUUGAAGCCGGAUUUGAUGGCUGAUUCUAUUCGGAUUAGAUUGUCGGUGGUGGUACAUCCUCUUCGGAAUCCGGUUUGGACUUUCGGCAUGAUGUCAAUGAGACUGGUCUGUACGAUUCCGCUUCUCCGGGUGGAUUGCCUGGUUUGAGGAUGGGUGUGACGAUGGCACAUUUCCAAUCUUUUGGGAUGUAUCCUUCCCUGAACAUCAAGUUGAUUGUUUCUCGUAUCGAUGUCGCUCGGGAUGCCUUGGCUUGUUGCUGCUCGUCGGAGUUCUUCAAUUUGGGCUUUGAGGUCAUCGAUUUCUUGUCUGGUCGGAGCGUCUUCAUUGGUGUGGUGUCUCGCGAAGAUGGGGCAUGCUGCUGUUCCUGCUUCGUGGUCGUUUCCUUCGCACGUCGGGCACUUUGGUGGGCUGGUGCACUGUUGGUCUUCUUCAUGGGCACAGGCACAGGUUCUACACACUUGAACA